CGAAGUAGCUCAAUGGCAGAGCAAUCGCCUUGUAAGCGAUAGGUUAUUGGUUCGACUCCGAUUUUCGG
rnacentral:tRNA from 1 species